rnacentral:rRNA from 1 species
UACAGAGGUCCCAAGCGUUGUUCGGAUUCACUGGGCGUAAAGGGUGCGUAGGUGGCUUGGUAAGUUUGAUGUGAAAUCUCCGGGCUUAACCCGGAAAUGGCAUUGAAUACUAUUGAGCUGGAGGUUUGGAGGGGGGACUGGAAUUCUCGGUGUAGCAGUGAAAUGCGUAGAUAUCGAGAGGAACACCAGUGGCGAAGGCGAGUCCCUGGACAACACCUGACACUGAGGCACGAAAGCUAGGGGAGCAAAUGGG